AAGGUGCUGCAUGGUUGUCGUCAGCUCGUGCCGUGAGGUGUCGGGUUAAGUCCCAUAACGAGCGCAACCCUUACUGUUAGUUGCCAGCGGGUCAAGCCGGGAACUCUAACGGGACUGCCACCGUAAGGUGAGAGGAAGGUGGGGAUGACGUCAAAUCAGCACGGCCCUUAUGUCCAGGGCUACACACGUGUUACAAUGGUCGGUACAAAGGGCAGCUACACCGCGAGGUGAUGCUAAUCUCAAAAGCCGUUCUCAGUUCGGAUUGAAGUCUGCAACUCGACUUCAUGAAGUCGGAAUCGCUAGUAAUCGCGGAUCAGCAUGCCGCGGUGAAUACGUUCCCGGGCCUU
rnacentral:rRNA from 1 species